UCUCCCUCCCGCAAGCACACAGAUCCUCUCUUCUCUCCAUGUAGUCACUACUUGGGGAAGGGGAAUGGGUGGUAUCAGCAAUUCAAGACUGAUUUCUUUUCCAUCUUCAGCGCCCCUUUCCUUGAUAUGAUGUUAAAACCAGAACAAGAAACAGAUCGAGGAAGAGGCAGAGUAACAACAGCCGGGAAGAAGAUACAGUUUUGUCAUUUUGUAGUGAGACUGUGCCCUAUACAUGAACCUAUUUGCCAGACCCAUCAAGUGAAUUCCGUGAUUCUUAUGAAAAAUGCCAUUAGACCUGUGAGAGGGGCUGUGACAGUGGAACCCGAAUGAAGACAGGAAAAGUCUGUAGAGGACUGAUGGUUAUGUUCACCAUUCAAAUUGCAAGAAAACCAAUAAGAAGUCAGUAAAGUGCAUUCAAAGAGAAAGGUGGGACUCGUGAAGGGGCCAAGGGAAAAGAGCUUCAUUAGCAUAUUUGUCAAGCAGAUGUGAAAUGAGGCAGAAAACUACUAGAACAAUUGGAGAAAUCUAGAAUAUGAAGUUCCAGCACAAACUUAGAUGGCUUCUAACUAUGUGAAGGUUUGAACAGCAGCUUCUGACAUAGAAAAUAACCACAGCAAAAAGAAGCACUAACAAGUGACAGAUGUGGUUGACUCAUCUCCUUCUCCCUUCGACUCUCUAAUGAGCAAUUAAAUAGCCUGAAACAGAACAAUCAAGAGGUCUGGCAAAUCCACACACUAGCAGCAAUACUAAACUGAUACACAAAGGAUCCCCGUACUUCAUCAAAAUAUCAAUGUUGUCCAUGACACACAAAGAACCCAGCUGUAGUUUAAUUCAGCAUCACAGUCCCAACAUGUUUUAAAACAUGUUCCAGCUUUUGGUCCCAGGAUUAUUCAACCUAGCUCAUAAAAGAAAACAAUAUUGCAUUUCUAAGUAUUGGCUCCUAGAAUUGGCAAGUUUAGUCAAGAAAAGCUGGAAUGCCGUUAAAACAACACCCUGUCAUCUUUCAAUCAGUCCUUAGCUGAAGUUAAAAUCCCACUCAUUCUGCAUGAUCCAGCCUCUGUAGCAUAGAGUGAGUAGCCCCUUAACAAGAACCAAAAUGGAGGGUACGGAUGAGGCUCAGAUCGUCACCACCUGGAGAAUAGAGACAGUGACUGAGUCACCAGGAAAUCUGUCCCCUGCUCAUCCCAGAAUCCCCGAGCUUUGACUUUUUAAGAGAACAUGUGACAGAUAAUGCCAUCUGAGAAGAUUCACAGAGCAACCAAAUAAAGAUGAUUGAGUGAAUGGCUAAAGAAAUAAAUAUGUUCGAAUCUGUACCCAUCUCAUGUCUUUCCUGAUGAUUGCCUCCUUUACUGUAUGUUUUCCACUGAGAUGAAGAUUUUGGUCAUUUCCUCAUUCAUGUUCCUGCUUUUCAAAACCCAAGCAAGAAAGGAAACUUCUACAGUGACUUUCUCAUUAUGAAAUCUUAGCAUUCACUAGUCGGCCAUAAUGGAAAACCAGCCAAAUGGACACAUAUACACUGGUCUGUACCCGCAGAGAAAGAAAUGCAAAUCUCUGUGAUCAGAAAACUAUCCUAUCUUGUACAUUGUUAAAAGUCUGCCUCCAAAAAGUUUACUUCUGGAAUACUGUAAUUGAAUAGAAUCAGGGAUCCUACCUGUGUCCUUCAACUUUCACAUCUUGUCUACUCAAGUAAGGGUUGAAUUUGCAUGACUAUAUCUAAGGUUCGAGGGCUUACCUGUUGGCAGUAGACCCAGUAGUCUAUGAAUGGAAAUGGGCAAACCUGUGACCUCCCAAAACUUUAAUAUGAAAGUUUUGUUUGUGUAUACUCAUGGCAUUAUUCUUUUAAUAAAG
rnacentral:lncRNA from 1 species